AUACGGAGGGUCCGAGCGUUAUCCGGAAUCAUUGGGUUUAAAGGGUCCGUAGGCGGGAAUCUAAGUCAGUGGUGAAAUCUUGCAGCUCAACUGUAAAAUUGCCAUUGAUACUGGAUUUCUUGAAUUAGUGUGAAGUGGUUAGAAUGUGUAGUGUAGCGGUGAAAUGCAUAGAUAUGACAUAGAACACCAAUUGCGAAGGCAGCUGGCUAGACCUUUAUUGACACUGAGGCACGAAAGCGUGGGGAGCGAACAGAAUUAGAAACCCCGGUAGUCC
rnacentral:rRNA from 1 species